rnacentral:rRNA from 1 species
ACGGCGAUGCUUUACCUGCAAGUCGAGCGGCAGCGCGGGGCAACCUGGCGGCGAGCGGCGAACGGGUGAGUAAUGCAUCGGAACAUGUCCAUUCGUGGGGGAUAGCCCGGCGAAAGCCGGAUUAAUACCGCAUACGCCCUUUGGGGGAAAGCCGGGGACCGCAAGGCCUGGCGCGAUUGGGUUGGCCGAUGUCCGAUUAGCUAGUUGGUAGGGUAAAAGCCUACCAAGGCGAUGACAGGUAGGGGACCUGAGAGGGUGGCCCCCCACAAUGGAACUGAAACACGGUCCAUACACCUACGGGUGGCAGCAGUAGGGAAUAUUGGUUAAUGGGCGAAAGCCUGAACCAGCAACGCCGCGUGUGCGAUGACGGCCUUCGGGUUGUAAAGCACUUUUUGAGGGGAUGAGGAAGGACAGUACCCUCAGAAUAAGUCUCGGCUAACUACGUGCCAGCAGCCGCGGUAACACGUAGGAGACUAGCGUUAUUCGGAUUUACUGGGCGUAAAGCGCGUGCAGGCGGUUCGGUUAGUUGGAUGUGAAAGCUCCUGGCUUAACUGGGAGAGGUCGUUCAAUACUGCCGGACUUGAGAGUGGUAGAGGGAGUUGGAAUUCCGGGUGUAGUGGUAAAAUGCGUAGAUAUCCGGAAGAACACCAGUGGCGAAAGCGGACUCCUGGACCAUUUCUGACGCUCAGACGCGAAAGCUAGGGGAGCGAACGGGAUUAGAGACCCCGGUAGUCCUAGCUGUAAACGAUGUAGACUUGGCGUUGGAGGGGUUAAAUCCUUCAGUGCCGAAGCAAACGCGAUAAGUCUACCGCCUGGGGA